rnacentral:rRNA from 1 species
AGUGAACGCUGGCGGUAGGCCUAACACAUGCAAGUCGAACGGCAGCACAGUCAUUGCUUUCUCUAACGGGUGUCGAGUGGCGGACGGGUGAGGAAUACAUCGGAAUCUACUUUUUCGUGGGUUGUAACGUAGGGAAACUUACGCUAAUACCUCAUACGACCUACGGGUGAAAGCAGGGGAUCUUCGGACCUUGCGCGAUUGAAUGAGCCGAUGUCGGAUUAGCUAGUGGGCGGGGUAAAGGCCCACUAAGGCGACGAUCCGUAGCUGGUCUGCGAGGAUGAUCAGCCACACUGGAACUGAGACACGGACCAGGCUCCUACGGGAGGGAGGAGCGGGGAAGAUGGGAAAUUGGGCGCAAGCCUGAUCCAGCCAUACCGAGGGGGUGAAGAAGGCCUUCGGGUUGGAAAGCCCUUCUGUUGGGAAAGAAAAGCAGCAGGUUAAUACCCAGCUGUUCUGACGGUACCCAAAGAAUAAGCACCGGCUAACUUCGUG